rnacentral:rRNA from 1 species
UUAAACGGCCGCGGUAUUUUGACCGUGCGAAGGUAGCAUAAUCAAUUGUCUUAUAAUUGAAGACUGGAAUGAAUGGUUGAACGAAAUUAAAACUGUUUCAUUUAUAUUAAUUAUAAAUUGAUUUUUAAAUGAAGAGAUUUAAAUUUAAUUAAUAGACAAAAAGACCCUAUUGAGCUUUAAAUAAUUUUAAAAUUAAAAAUUUAUUAUUAUAGAUUUAAAUUUUAAAUAUUUUUUGGUUGGGGCGACUAAGGAACAGAUGAAGCUUCCUUUAUUUGUUAAAUUGAUAAAUUUUGAUCCAGUAUUAAACUGAUUAAUAAAAAUAGUUACCAUAGGGAUAACAGCAUAAUCUUCUUGGAGAGUUCUUAUCAAAAGGGGGGGUUGUGACCUCGAUGUUGGAUUAAAAUAUCCUAAGGGUGUAGAGGCUUUUAAGGGUUGG